GUAGUAUUCCUAAUUGAUGUUAUGAAACUAGGUGCAUAAUACGGGCAUAAUAAUAUCCAAAUUGAGAGUUUAAAAACAAGUGUCAUAUUUGGCGAUUCUGUGUCUGCACCGAUAGCUCUGGUACUCUAUAUUGAGUCAUGUAUUGUGUAUUCUAUAUAUUAACCUUUGUAACCUUUUAUGCCAGGUAUGAAUGAACGUAUUAUGAGUAAGUUAUGCCUCAUACUAGGUGGGGUCUCCGAGACCCAGGACUCGGAGACUCACAUCCUGCAUCCAGACUCUUUGAUUGGCAGUUUUGACGGUUUUGUUUCUUUAUUUAGGGAUAAAAUAUUAAUCUUAAUUUUGAACACUAAGUGUUCACUCAUGAUCGGCGUAAAUGGGCCGAACUAGUCAGAACUGUCCAUCAUAAAUAAAAUGUUAUAUAUACCCAUGUAAAAUGAUGUUGAACAGAUUAAGAGAUUUAGAGAGAUAGAUAGAUUCCGCUUAUAGAGAUUCUUAGACUCUUGAUUUGGACUGCUUUUAAUUGUUGUAACUAUACGAUCACGCUUUAAUAAAAACGCUUGAGAAAGA
rnacentral:sRNA from 1 species